UCCCAAAUUGAGAACCCUAACCCUAGCUUCCCUUUGCCUCAGCCGUACCCCACCCCUCCUUCACCCUCUUCAGCUAACACACUCACCCUCAGCGCCGUUACCCUCACCAUAUGACACACACAGAGACUUACCUCUCUCACUCUCAGCCUCACCACCGAACUCGCCGCCAAGCCACCGUCGCGUCUGCUGCCUCACCACCGCCUCCUCCAUCGCGCGCUACUGCCGGCCUGGAACCGCCGCUAUCGCGCCUAACCACCGUCCAGCUCCGCCCGUUCUGCCGCGCCUCUCAUCACUAUCAGGUUUGUCGUCACCAUCGAGGGCCAGUAGAAAGAGCAACGCGAGAGUCAGGGUCACCACUGAGAAGAGACGAAGCUGUGUUCCACGCCGUCGUUGCCACCGAUCCACAGCCACCACCGCGACGGGCUCCGCCACCGUGAAAGAAGUCCUUCGCUGUUAUCAGAGUCUCUGCCGCCGUGGAUACCGCCAUUGGAGUCACUAGGAACUAAUGUUGGAGCUGCCCUUGAUGAUUCUGAUGCUGCUACGUAGGUUCUGAGCUGUCUGUUGCUGUUGCCGCCGUUCUGGCCGUUGGAGAACCACCGAUGGAGCUCGCUGGAACUGCUCGGAGGUUUCUGUUACUCGUUUUGAUUCUGCCCUGUUUUGGGAAUCUUGCUGCUUCCACUGGAGUCAUGAACUGAAAAGGAAAGGAGGCCAUUUUCCCUUGUCGCUUUUGCUGCCAUGGAAACUAGUGCUGGAAAUUGCUAGCAGAGCUGCUAUGUGUGAUAAUUUCCGCGAUUUUCGACACUGAGUGACACAGGUUCGAAGACUCCGUUUGAAGCUGCAGGCGAUUAUAGAUCUUAUUUAUGAGUUAAGUUUAUGACUUGAGUUAUUUUCAUAGAAUUUCCCUCGCCCUUGUUACUUUGGUUUUUAUUUUAUACAGAGGAAUAGGAUUUGUAUGUGAGUUUUAUUUGAAAUCUUUUGUAUGACAGAUAUUAUUAUUAAUGAUUAUGUGAUUAUUAUUA